GUAAUAUUGUUUUUAUGGGUAAAUCCCAGAUUUGCAAUAACUUUUAAUGUAGGUUCCUGUGGAUUUAGCGCUUGCCUGUUAUUGCAUGUGUGUUCUCUAUGUUUCAGGGCACAUGCCAAGACAAUGUGUCCAAAUAAAUUGUUUCCCAAACCCUACAUAGCCUCAAUUAAUGUGACUUGUUUCGACAACUUAUUACAGAACCAUCCCUCACCACACUCAGUGGACUGUUUGGGGACUGGAUUCAUGGAAGGGUUCCAUACAUGCCAUUCAGUAUUGUAGAAUGUAAAAACCUACUGUCUGCCCUUGCCAAUCCAACAGCGGUUAACAAUCUGUUACAGACUGAAUUGGAUCAAGGUUUCCUACUUGGACUGUUCAGUUCCCCACCAUUCUCAGUAUGGAGAACUAACCCUAUAGGUGUUGUUUCUGGUAAAAG